rnacentral:rRNA from 1 species
GACCGCCUGGGGAGUACGGCCGCAAGGUUAAAACUCAAAUGAAUUGACGGGGGCCCGCACAAGCGGUGGAGCAUGUGGUUUAAUUCGAUGCAACGCGAAGAACCUUACCUACUCUUGACAUCCAGAGAACUUAGCAGAGAUGCUUUGGUGCCUUCGGGAACUCUGAGACAGGUGCUGCAUGGCUGUCGUCAGCUCGUGUUGUGAAAUGUUGGGUUAAGUCCCGCAACGAGCGCAACCCUUAUCCUUUGUUGCCAGCGAUUCGGUCGGGAACUCAAAGGAGACUGCCAGUGAUAAACUGGAGGAAGGUGGGGAUGACGUCAAGUCAUCAUGGCCCUUACGAGUAGGGCUACACACGUGCUACAAUGGCAUAUACAAAGAGAAGCGACCUCGCGAGAGCAAGCGGACCUCAUAAAGUAUGUCGUAGUCCGGAUUGGAGUCUGCAACUCGACUCCAUGAAGUCGGAAUCGCUAGUAAUCGUGGAUCAGAAUGCCACGGUGAAUACGUUCCCGGGCCUUGUACACACCGCCCGUCACACCAUGGGAGUGGGUUGCAAAAGAAGUAGGUAGCUUAACCUUCGGGAGGGCGCUUACCACUUUGUGAUUCAUGACUGGGGUGAAGUCGUAACAAGGUAACCGUAGGGGAACCUGCGGUUGGAUCACCUCCUUA